UACGAGGGGGGGCGAGCGUUGUUCGGAAUUAUUGGGCGUAAAGGGUGCGUAGGCGGUUUGGUAAGUCUGAUGUGAAAUCUAUGGGCUCAACUCAUAGUCUGCAUCGGAAACUGCCGGGCUUGAGUAUGGGAGAGGUGAGUGGAAUUCCUGGUGUAGCGGUGAAAUGCGUAGAUAUCAGGAGGAACACCUGUGGCGAAAGCGGCUCACUGGACCAUAACUGACGCUGAUGCACGAAAAGCUAGGGGAGCAAACAGG
rnacentral:rRNA from 1 species